rnacentral:rRNA from 1 species
UACGUAGGGUGCGAGCGUUAAUCGGAAUUACUGGGCGUAAAGCGUGCGCAGGCGGUUUUGUAAGACAGGCGUGAAAUCCCCGGGCUUAACCUGGGAACUGCAUUUGUGACUGGCAGGCUAGAGUAUGGCAGAGGGGGGUAGAAUUCCACGUGUAGCAGUGAAAUGCGUAGAGAUGUGGAGGAAUACCGAUGGCGAAGGCAGCCCCCUGGGCCAAUACUGACGCUCAUGCACGAA